GACGAACGCUGGCGGCGUGCCUAAUACAUGCAAGUCGAACGACAGCGCCCGGUGCUUGUGCUGUUCCAUCUAGUGGCGAACGGGCGAGUAACACGUGGGUAACCUUCUCAUCAGAGGGGGAUAACAUCGGGAAACGGAUGCUAAAACCACAUCAGACUUCGAACCGCAUGGUUUGAAGAGGAAACGAGGCUCACGCUUCUGCUGAUGGAGGUACCCGCGGUGCAUUAGCUAGUUGGUGAGGUAACGGCUCACCAAGGCCGUGAUGCAUAGCCGACCUGAGAGGGUGAUCGGCCACAUUGGGACUGAGACACGGCCCAAACUCCUACGGGAGGCAGCAGUAGGGAAUCUUCCGCAAUGGACGCAAGUCUGACGGAGCAACGCCGCGUGAGUGAAGAAGGUUUUCGGAUCGUAAAACUCUGUUGUUAGAGAAGAACAAGUGCUAGAGUAACUGUUAGCGCCUUGACGGUAUCUAAACAGAAAGCCACGGCUAACUACGUG
rnacentral:rRNA from 1 species